UACGGAGGAUGCAAGCGUUAUCCGGAUUUAUUGGGUUUAAAGGGUGCGUAGGCGGGAAAAUAAGUCAGUGGUGAAAUCCUACAGCUUAACUGCAGAACUGCCGUUGAUACUGAUAGUCUUGAGUUUGGUUAAGGUAGGCGGAAUGUGUAAUGUAGCGGUGAAAUGCUUAGAUAUUACACAGAACACCAAUUGCGUAGGCAGCUUACUGAGCCGACACUGACGCUGAGGCACGAAAGCGUGGGGAUCGAACAGGAUUAGAUACCCU
rnacentral:rRNA from 1 species